GCCAGCGCGAGUAGUACCGAGGCGACAUGCCCAAGUAUCGCGUCCUGGAACACCAAGGACGCAACAUG
rfam:Nitrobacter sp. Nb-311A 1099473104471, whole genome shotgun sequence.